UUAACAUUUUCCUCCUCACCUUUCCUCUCUCUCUUCACGAUUCAAAUUAUCAUUCUCUCUUCUCUUCUCAAACCCUAAAAGUGGCUGAACAAGCAAAACCUAGAACACGCCUCCCCGUCGUCCAAACAGUUGAAGCACGGGAGAUGAAUCAGUUUUAUCCACCAAAGCGGAAAAUCUUCAAAUCUUCGUUCUCUUCGAUCUCAGUUUUUCGCAAAUCACCCCGCAUUUUCUAUGUGGGCGAUGUUCCAAUCAGGGUGUUAAAUAGAUUAGACUGGAGCAUUAGGCUAUUAUGGUAAAUCCGGUGGUGGUAGAGCUGAUGAAGAGAAGGUUCUGAAAGUUUUGUGGGAGAAGGACGGUGAAGAUUAUUCUCUAUCCUUUUUGUUCAAUUGUAGUAUCUGCUGGGCUUCUCAGGAUUUUUGGCCGCAAUAUUGCAGAGUUUCCCAUGGUAGCUACAAGCAGAGAGUAUCAAGGAAAAGGUUAUUUUCAACUGCUAUUUUCUUGCAUAUAGAGGUUCUUGUCUUCUCUAAAUGUACAAAAGUUGGUUCUCCCUGCUGCAGGGGAUGCAGAGUCAAUUUAGACUAAGAAAUUUUGCUUUCUCAAGAUGAGUGAAGAUUAGGAACUUAGGACUAUAACCCUCACUACAAUCACCAGUAUCGACAUGCCUGAGAUUGCAGUACACAAAUUCAAAUUCAAGCCCUUUGCAGAAUUCUUGUAUGUAGAUUUUGAUGUUGAUCGCUUAUACGAUAUUAUUGGUGUCCUGCAACAAGUCGUUAGGACCCAGGUUAUAGGUGCUGGGAAAAAACUGUGUGUCAACCUAAUUUUGGCCAAUGAAUGUGGAGCUGAGAUUGAUCUCACCCUUUGGGAGAUGUAUGCAGAAAAGACUUAUAGCUUUUACUAAAGAAAACGGUCUACCGGUUGUCAUACUAACUCAUGCUUGGUAUCGCCAAAGUUCAACCACAUGGAAGCUUAAUCUUUCAAACGCUUGGAACAGUUCCAAACUACUACUCAAGUAGUUGAUUUCAAGGCUAGGUCUUUUCAGAAUUGAUGCCGAGAACCCAAAUGCAAAUGCAAAUGCCUGUUUACUUGAAUGAACUGAUUUAUGGUAUUUGGCAGCUUAAUCACUGAACUCUGAUGAAGCAACAGACCUUAAGCUACCACUGAAAGAAAGGUUCUUUCUUCAACCAUUGCCACCUACAGAAGCAGCAACAAGAAGUGCAUUUGAAGUGCAACAUUGCAUUCAUUUGAAGUGUGAUGGUCUAGAAAAAUCAAUUUAAUACUUUUGUUGGGAACUGUUCUGCCGGGGGGGUCUUGUAGUACUUAAGGUUUCGGAUAACAUUCUAUCUGUUAUGCUAUUUUUUUCUUCAUUUUCAAUUUAAAAGUGUUUCUUUCA